GCCGUCAGCGAGUGCGCAGCGCGGAGCAAUACAGCAUUGUCACCUGAGCCGCUAACUGGAAGCCCGCGAAAUUCUUUCCUCGUAGACGCAUGAGACGCUCCGUGAAGUUUUAAGUGUUUAGAAGUGCAUCUAGUGUUUGGUCUUUGGCCGACUGUACCCCCGCAAAGCAAAGCCAGCAGUGUGGACAGUGAGGAAGCACAUAUUGCACGCUGAAAUCAUCACCUCAUUACAGAUGCAUCGUGCACUGUGAGUUGACAGUCCCUUCUUGUGUGCUUCGACAGUCACUAUCCAUGGGACUCAACAUACAACAGGACACUACCUUGUGGUCUCCAGAGACGAGUACAACCUGUGCUAUGGGAAACUGGUACACAUCUUUGUGGAAACUGGCCCGGAGGUGAUGCCAAUUUUUCUUUUUCGCAUAACGCCAUCAACCUUCCUACUAGACCUCAUGCUAUACCAUCUUGAAUCUCAGGUACAAGUGAAUAUUGUUGUGUGCGACCCUCAGAAUUAAUGGACAGUCAUCCAUAUUCAGCUUAUGAAGUAAUAAACUCUAUUGUUGUCUCCCCCAGAAUAUCACUGCUCAACCAUGAUUAUGGAGGCGUUUCUGAAGAUCAGGAGUAGAGAUCACAAAACGAAAAACUUGGUGUCAGUAACAUGUCUUGAGGAGCUAAUCAGAGUUGCUGUGGGUCAUCGAAUUUGUCAGGAAGGCGACAUACAGGUGUAUUUAGUGGAUGAGUUAUCACUUCGCUGUAU